UACAGAGGUCCCAAGCGUUGUUCGGAUUUACUGGGCGUAAAGGGUGCGUAGGUGGUUGGGUAAGUUUGAUGUGAAAUCUCCGGGCUUAACCCGGAAAUGGCAUUGAAUACUAUUCAGCUUGAGGAUUGGAGGGGGGACUGGAAUGCUCGGUGUAGCAGUGAAAUGCGUAGAUAUCGAGCGGAACACCGGUGGCGAAAGCGACUUCCUGGACCAGUACCGACGUUCAGGCACGAAAGCGUGGGGAGCAAACAGG
rnacentral:rRNA from 1 species